GAUGCGAAAUGAUUAAAGAUGUACUGAUUUUGACCAUUUUGUUUGAAAUAUGUGUAAAACACUUUGAACCUCCAGAUUGUCCGGAAUUUGUGCCGCAGUCAAACUUAAGACGAAACUGGGGGUAAAUGAGUUCACCAUUUUCGAUGAAAAUGAGGAUUUUGGAGGUGUCUGGUUGACCCAUACGUAUCCAAAGUGCGCGUGUGACGUUUCCACGCAGAUCUAUAGCUUCUCAUUUGUCCCAAAUCCAGACUGGACCAAGUUGUUCCCCAAACAACCCGAAGUCUUGGCAUACUUACAGAGUAUUGCCAAAAAGCACGACCUUUACAAAAAUUCCAGAUUCAACCGCCAAAUUCAAACUUUGACCUGGAUCAGUAAAGCCAAACAGUGGAAAGUAGUUAGUCUUAAUAAAGAGACCGGAACUACAGAGGAUUGGAGUUUUGACAUUGUAAUUGCUGGACCAGGUCCUUUCCACGUGCCCUAUAUUCCCGAAAAAUUCAAAAACUUCGCCGGUCCGGUUAUCCACUCGGCCCGGUGGGAUAGUUCCGUCUCCUUAAAGGAUAAAAUGG